AAAGCGGAUACAGGCGCAAAAGAAUAAUAGAAUAAUAGAUACAUAGCAGGAGAUAACUGCGGCAAUUCCGGAGCUAAUAUAUGUGAAUAAACCCUGAUUUUCGAAAGGGUGCAAUUAUGAGAGCAAAACAAUCAUCUUCGGAUGUAGUUUGCUGACUCUAAAUAACGCUGCAUAUCGUCGGCUUGUCCAACGAUAUUCCGAAAAAGUGUCUGCCCUAUCAAUCUGAUGGUAGUCUACCAGUCUACUAUAGUUAUUACGGGUAACCGAGAAUAAGGGCUCGGUUCCA
rnacentral:ncRNA from 1 species